GGCCUCUUCAGGAAAGCAUCAGCUCAGCCUCUGCCCGUUGCCAAAUGCCACGAAUGGGUUUAGUCUUGAGGAGAAAAGAGAAAUGUGUGCCUGUUCUGCUUCGUAGAAGACGUGGAGUUACAGGUGAGCCAUUUAGCAUGCGUGUGAGAGCGACAAACCACGUCUGCACCAGCUGGUCCAACGGCACUGUUUGUGAAACGUGCAUAUCUUUUGAUUCUUUUCAACCUUGCUGUGUGUACGCUGAUCUUCCUAGAAGUGUAUGAGUGACAGGCAAUAGUAUACAAGGUGAGAUAUCUCUAUAUAUAUAGGCUUAGUUUGUAAUUCUUCAAGUGAUUCAUGGAAAUACAAGAUAAGGCAAUUUAAACUUUUUUUUAAAAAAAAACUUUUUCUGCUUCUGUGGAACUCAUUUUUGUUGUUGUUGUUGUUGUUUCCAAAAAGUUAUGGUGCUGUAUAGGUGCUUUCUGUUGAGCCUGCAGAGUGUGAGUGUAGGUGGUACUCUCUUUGGUAGACAGCGUAGUUGGGAACACCUUUGGUACAUACAAAACUGGUGUGGCGAUGCUCUGACUAGCACAGCAUAUGCAUAUGUCUCCAAAGUGAUAUCUGAAGGCUUUCUUCUUUGCAUAAAAAGCACUAGGCAUUUAAGUGUAUAAAAUAUUUUAUCAUGUACAGCAAAGAUGGAACUCUAUGCAUGGCGUCAGGAAUGUGGGCUAAUGUUCUAGCACAGGCCUCCCCGCUUGAGUUCUCGCCAUUGCCUGCACUGUAGCUGUGAACACCAACCCAGGCGUGCCACCCAAUCCCCUGCCUCAGCACUGGCCCCCUUGUGCACCUUUGCUUCCUGAGCACUCUGGGGGUGGUGAAGAUGGCCAUCACAGCCCCUAGCACAGUGAGAGUUCCACUGGGUAUUGUCACAGGUCUCUCCUGCCUCGCUUGGAUUCUUGUGUCUGAGCGAUGGCCCUGUUGAUUCCACUCUGCCUUUUAUGGAAUCUGUACGUUACCACGCGGCUGUGGUCCUGCUAGGCCUGUGGCACGUUGCCUUUCCCAAGCUGCUACAUGUUUAUAACCUUCAUUUUUAAAGUCCAGUUUUGAAAACGUGUAUAGGAGUCGUGUGACCUGCUGGCCAGAGAGCCCAUACUUGCUUAUCCAAUCCUUGAUGGUGAUGCUAGCCACGCCCUGAUGCUUCAGCCAUCAGCUGUCCCCGCAACUGUGUCAUUUUGGUGGAGGACUAACUGGCUUUCUGGCUUCCCAGAGUGCUGCACCCUGGGUGGAAUGUCUCAGGGUGGCAGCUGAAGGAACAGAGAAAGCUCAGGUACAAGGGAGAACCCCAAGUGCUUCCAACAUGAGGGCCCUGAGCAUUCUCUGUUGAGUUUAAAGAAACGCAGACCAGCUCACAAGAUAAUGUCUUGGCUCUGCAGUUUACAGGCACUGGGAGUGGAAAGGACAACCCUCCGGUGCAUUCCCCUAGUCUUAAAACUUGGAUUUCCUUUCAGACAUGGUAGCUCGUUUAUUCUCCUUCCCAGUGUUUGUUAGGUUUCAGGCACCAGAUCUCACAGAACGUCCUAGAAAUCGACUAUAAGCUGAGGCGGGAACAGGGUGAGACAAGAGUCGCCUCGGCAGAGUGGGAGAGCAGAGGCAGAGUGCUUUGAUUUACUCUACACACAGAACACGUGGAGAGCUGAGGCCUGCCGGGCCCUGGAGAGGCUCAGGCGAGACUUGGACGGCAAUGCCUACUGGGGUAUUUGCACUCCCACCCUCAGACUCCCCACACAGAGAGGCCAAGCUCUCUUAAGAAGCCCAAUUGUGUGUCAGACUUGACAGAGGUAUAGCCUGGGCCCUCUGUACCUUCUGUUGGGACCCUGCUUUCAGGGUAGCUUGGCCAUUGGCCACCAAGUAGCAUUCUCAGUGUCUUAGGUCCCUAACAAGGAACCGGUCUGUUGAGACAUCUGAGCAGGUGACCUUGUGGACCUUCCAGACUUAGAACCAGCCCAUGGAGUCCUGAUGAGAAAGAAGUGUGCAGUGAGCCCUCCUGGGGAGCCCUGCACGCCUGUGACAAUGUCACAGAACGCCAAAGGCCCAUGUGGAAGACUGGCGUUCUCUUCAGGCUCUAGAACCUGAUACCUUGUACCAAAGAUAGAGAAGAGCAUGGGGCAAGCCUUCGCCAUCCUAGCUCUAGGACUGACUGGGCUCAGCAUACCCGGUUAACUGUGACUGCAUUAGAGGUGUGUUCUCCAUUGUAUCCUCUGCAACAUAAUGACGGCUGAAGCACAUAGAACUGUUUUCCUACGUCUCCUGCUAAUGGAGGAGCGUGCACUAGGUGUAGCACAAAGCAGACAUUGGGGCUUGAUGAUUAGCGUCAGCCUAAGGAGAGGUACACCCCAUCUCAGGUGUGACUUCAGCCAACUUCUGAACCCAUGUACAGGUUCAUAGGGACAGACAACUCUGCCUUUUCUUGAAGCGCUCCAUCCACUGAACGAGCAAGCAGCCUUUGAAUCUCUUGGGAAAGAGCUUUAAGAGUAAGGCGGGGAGAAAACAAGCCUUCCCUCCCUCCGUCAUCCCCCGGACUAAGGGAAAACAAAACAAAACGCUACCUAUUCGCUAAACACAAAGGAAAGGUAAUAAGAGACUGGCUGAGUCGUCAUCUUCUUCCUGUAUUUGGGAACAUCAUGAUUAGGUGGACGAGUGUUGAGUUUUUUAAUUAAAAGCAGACCUUUUGUAGAAAAGCAAUCACUGAUACAGAGGUACAAAGAAGCCAGUUCUGGGGGGGAAGAAGUAGUGGGAACACAGGGCAUGAGGUUAGAGAUGUCUGUGGAUCACGUCUGUCAAACAGGACUAGAGAAAGAUGCCCAAGCAACUGACAGGAAUAAGUGGUGUUUGAACUAAAUCUCAAGUGUAUAGCAUACAGAUUAGAUGGAUGAAGUAUUUUCUCUUGUUGAAUUUUAUUCAUUUGUAUUCUUUCAUGAAUGAAUGAUUGCAAGGCCUCGGUCACACUCCAGGAAUACUUGUGCGACUGUUUUUUUUUUUUUUUUUUUAAAGCGUGUGUCUGGUCACUUCUCUAAAAUGAUCUCCUUGUCUGGCAAUCAGCCUUCUCUGUAGACUUGUCCCGGCACAUUAUGUACGUGGGAAAUGUGGACAGGUGUGAAGGAGACCAGAAGAAUUGGUGAAUACUGAAAAGUGUGUUGUGCAUUUAGGCUUCACGUGGUUAACGUUUUUUGGGUUUUUUUUUUUUUUUAAGAAAAAAGUUGCAUGAAUGAAAACAACCUCUGUACACAUUACCUGUAAAAAUGGCCUGUUUUGAUUUCUUGCUUCUACCCCACACAAACUAGAAUUUCGUGUGGCGCGUGGCCAUGUUUAAACACCUGCAGCAGUUGGUCGUCUGGUUUGAGGCAGACGCAAUCCUGCUGCAUUCUGGGUACUGAGGACCUUGUCUAACCAUACGCUGCCGUGAGUUAGCUCUGCCGCCUUUCUUCUCAAGGAUCAAAACCAGUUUGAUUUGGGAAUCUGCCCCUUCCCGGUGGAAUGGAGGUGCGUACUUCCCGUGGCGUUUGUAGAUAUUGCCUGUGUAUUCCAUUUAAAACCAUAAUCUAGUUUGUAAAAGAGAUGAUGACGCAUGUAAAUAAAGCUUUGGUGACACUCUA
rnacentral:lncRNA from 1 species